UCUCAAAGUCAGUUCGCUUUGCCUCUGUGUUGGAACGAUGAAACUUCAAAUCCUCCUAACCCUAUUAAUCCAAGUGGCAGUAAUUGAAUCCCUCAGGGAGGUCUCUGGGUACCUUGGGGAUACUGUCACCUUGUCCUCAGGUGCCGACCCAUCAUGGAAUCUUUCCUCAAUAGAAUGGUCAGUAUUCCCAAACAACACCUGGAUUGCCACCUACCGCAAUGGGAACAAAAACAUUGAACGGGUUGAUCGGUAUAAAGGUCGACUCAGUCUCAACACCUCCUCAGGUGACUUGAUGAUCCAUAAUUUGAACAAAGAGGAUGCCAUGGAAUAUACUGUAGACCUCAUCAAUACUCAGAGACAGAACAAGGGAACCAAAACUAAGCUCACAGUGAUACAACGCCUCAACAAACCGAUCAUCGAGACUGUCUCCUGUGCAUCUGUAAAAGGAGGCUCUUGGUUGUGGCUGCGUUGUUCCUCAAAGGAUACAGGCGUUAGCUUGUUGUGGCAGCAUACAUUGCCCAGUGUUACGCUCUUCAAAAUGACAAGUCCUGAUGGCAACUCUGCCGAUCUUUUAGGAUUUCUGAACACCACACAGAACCUUGUCGAAUUCACCUGCACCUCCAGCAGGAAUAUGGAGAAGGAGUCAAGUGUCGUCACUCCAAAGUGUGGUGAUGACAAGCCUCCGUCUCCGUCUCUGUCUCCGGCUCUGUCUCCGCCCAGAGAAAGAAAUGUUCUUGUUUUUUUUGUGGGAUUCCUCGUGGGAGCUUUACUUGUAGUAAUUAUAUUCGUUUUCAAAGCUCCAGCCCACGCAUCAAACCAAGAUACAAUACAACAUUUGUCCUAAAGGUUACAGUUUCCCAAAAUGACACCGAUAUAGCUCCUAUCGUUGACUUUACACUGUGUUGAGAACAUAGACACAUACAUGUGACCAUAAAAACAGCCCAGCUGUAAUUUUAAAGCAAUUAUGUUGACAUUGUUUUUAAAUUACAGAACAAAUCAAAGCUGCAUGGGGACACCUUCAAGGAAAACUGUUUCCAUCAAAAUAAUAUCAUAAUAGCUUGACUUUCUGCUUUGACUGUCCCAGGUUUUGCAGUAACAAGUGGUAACAUAAUGUCUCUUUUCUACAAAGCCAGAAUGACUUCACAUACACAUGACACAAUAUAUUGAAUACAUGUACAAUCUAAUUCAAACCACUAAAACAAUUUCAAAAUCAAGAUAACCAACACAGACACAAACCAAAAGCUUCACAAUAAUAACAUUUUAUUGUACAGGUGUUAAUGACAGUAUUUUAUGCAUCUUUAUUGCAAAACCCUCACUUUUAUUUAAUUCAUUUUCUCUGGUUCUCAUGUCUUUUUUCUUUUUUAGUAUCCUGUCAUGUGAAUUUUUUAUUUUUUUUUUUUUAAAUUUCAACUUUGGAAAUUGUGAGGUACUUAUAUGUAUUAAUAGGUAUUUUUUGUGUGUCUAUAUACAUGUAUAUGUGUAACAGAGUUUUUUAGUGAGUCCACUUGCCAGGGUUUAAUCAUCCAAUACAAAUAGGUGUUAUUGACAUUCUGUAUUGUGAUUGGUCAGUGGGCGUCUCCUCUGUAUGCCCUUGUACGUGAUUUAGCGGUGCCAGUGCAGAAGAGCGUGCCUGUGGUAGGCUGGAUCGCACCCAGUCAUAAGCACAUUUUGAUUGUUUCUUUUAAUAAUAUUUCAUUUACAUGCUAUGUUGAUAUGAUGAUGUAUAAAUACUUUCGUGUGAUGUAACAACGGCUAUGUAUACACUGUUUGAAAUGCUUAUUUCGUGAAAUGUAAAGAAAGCUGCUAAGAAUGACUGGGUGUGUACGCUGUGUCCUACGUGGCUGACCAGGAUAUAAUUCUUUGUUCACCAGGUACAUAUUGUAUUUUUGUUUACACAUUUAUUUAAUUUAGUGUCGUGUUGUAAUAUUAUAUAAUAGGCCAGUGCACGAGGAGCGUGCCCGUGAAUGACCGUGGGUGUGUAUGCUGUGUCCUACGUGGCUGACCAGGAUAUAAUUCUUUGUUCACCAGAAUAAAUCAGACCAGAUUGAGAUGCAAGUGUGAAGUCUGCAAUUAAUACACAACGCAGAGAUGAUAUUGGUUACAUAUUAUCAAGCUUUUUUGAUAAUUUCAAUGCUUAAAAGGGCAAACUAUAUGUAGAUGUAAUGUAUGCACUAGAUAUAUUGUGCUGUUCUGUCUCAGUGUUUGUUGUAAACUAUUUUCCAAUGUUAUGUACCAUUUUGACUGAAGUAUUGUAAAUACAUGUGUGUGGAAGAGUAA